rnacentral:rRNA from 1 species
GACGUAGGGUCCGAGCGUUGUCCGGAGUUACUGGGCGUAAAGCGUGCGCAGGCGGUCUGUUAAGACCGAUGUGAAAUCCCCGGGCUUAACCUGGGAACUGCAUUGGUGACUGGCAGGCUUUGAGUGUGGCAGAGGGAGGUAGAAUUCCACGUGUAGCAGUGAAAUGCGUAGAGAUGUGGAGGAAUACCGAUGGCGAAGGCAGCCUCCUGGGCCAACACUGACGCUCAUGCACGAAAGCGUGGGGAGCAAACAGG